rnacentral:rRNA from 1 species
AUGAUUCGUGGGACGUCCUGCCGGUGGUGGCGAGUCGAAGGCGAGCUCCCGUCGUGGUUCCCACUUCGGUUCUUGCUCGCCCGAGGCGGACCCCGAUGAAAUCCUACCGCGGUGCUCUUCACCGAGUGUCGAGGUGGGCCGGCACGUUUACUUUGAACAAAUUAGAGUGCUUAAAGCAGGCCUGUUGCGCCUGAAUACUGUGUGCAUGGAAUAAUGGAAUAGGACCUCGGUUCUAUUUUGUUGGUUUUCGGAACCCGAGGUAAUGAUUAAUAGGGACAGGCGGGGGCAUUCGUAUUGCGACGUUAGAGGUGAAAUUCUUGGAUCGUCGCAAGACGGACCGAAGCGAAAGCAUUUGCCAAGUAUGUUUUCAUUAAUCAAGAACGAAAGUUAGAGGUUCGAAGGCGAUCAGAUACCGCCCUAGUUCUAACCAUAAACGAUGCCAGCUAGCGAUCCGCCGAAGUUCCUCCGAUGACUCGGCGGGCAGCUCCCGGGAACCAAAGCUUUUGGGUUCCGGGGGAAGUAUGGUUGCAAGCUGAACUUAAGGAAUUGACGGAGGGC